UACGUAGGGCGCAAGCGUUGUCCGGAAUUAUUGGGCGUAAAGAGCUCGUAGGCGGUCUGUCGCGUCUGUUGUGAAAACUCGAGGCUCAACCUCGGGCUUGCAGUGGAUACGGGCAGACUAGAGUGCGGUAGGGGAGACUGGAAUUCCUGGUGUAGCGGUGGAAUGCGCAGAUAUCAGGAGGAACACCGACGGCGUAGGCAGCGCCCUGGACGACACCUGACGCUGAGGCACGAAAGCUGGGGGAGCGAACAGG
rnacentral:rRNA from 1 species